GUCAGGAUGGCCGAGCGGUCUAAGGCGCCAGACUCAAGGUAUCCUUGCCUGCACUGCAGGUUGAUGAGCGUUCUGGUCCACUCUGUGGGCGUGGGUUCGAAUCCCACUUCUGACA
rnacentral:tRNA from 2 species